rnacentral:lncRNA from 1 species
CAUUUGGUGCAGGGAAUGCUUCUGAAUGUCCUGAAAUCUACAGAAAGUGAUCAAAUGUCCUUAUAAGAGAGUAAAUUUGAGUUGACUCCGUGGAACAAUGGACCUGUGUCGUGGCCUAAAACAACCUAUCUGUGGCACCAGUUCUGUGACCUAUGACAAUCCCUGAAGCUUAUACAUUGAGAGCUUGAAAUCCCUUGGAAGAAUUAAGUUUCGUCAUGAUGGCAGUUGCUAGCUGAGUGGAUUUGGAUGUGGAAGAUGACUUCUUUUUCUUGCCAUCACAACAAUUCUCCUCUUACACAUUGUCCCUCCUCCAUCCCUUCUUGCAUGUAUCUUGGUGACAGACAGCUGCCAUUAUUUAUCUCAAAGUAAAUAGCACAAGGUUCCUUUUCAGACUGCUCCUCUCAUUGACUCACUGACUUCUACACUUUCCCAAAUAAAAUGAACUUUUCUGGGCUAGCUAUGUAGUUUAGUGGCAUGGCAUGCUGGAGGUGCUGGGC